GUCUUUGAGUGAAUGUUGGUGUAAGUGGAACACAGCACAGUGAAGAUGAGACUUUCUCUUACAGUCUAAAGGCCUAGAGGUACUUUUUCCAUUUUGACUUGCAAUUAUGAAGCAAGGGGUGUUAAGAACCUGAGAAUGGCUUACAGCUUUUCAUACAACUUGUGCAUAACAGUGCACUGACAAUUACUUUUAACACACAGGACAUGGAUUGUAGAUUUUACCCUUCAAAGGUUGGUUUAAUUCAAACUUUUUUUUUUAGAAUUAUUGAUCCUAGUAGUCUGACCAUUGUACCAAAGUUCAGCAAACACUACCGUUGUCUACUGAUUUGCUUGAGGCCUGUGUUGUGUUGAAUUUCCUGUGUUGUGUUAACCUUUGGACCCAUGAGGGAACACACAUACUCUCUGUAUUUAUUCCUGUCUUCAUAGAUAACAUGACAGUGGUCUCCUUCACUCAUCGGCACCUGGGAUUAAAGGGCUGUCAUGUGACUUGGAAUCCACCACUUGCUGAUGGAGCGCAGGCGUGUGGACUGGGUUAUAAUGACUAUUCCUGUCAAGAGAACUAAAAACAGAUGAAGAACUCCUCUCCGUAUGCCAAAGAUAAGUUGG